rnacentral:rRNA from 1 species
UGGGGAAUAUUGCACAAUGGGCGAAAGCCUGAUGCAGCAACGCCGCGUGAGCGAUGAAGGUCUUCGGAUCGUAAAGCUCUGUCCUCAAGGAAGAAUUUUGACGGUACUUGAGGAGGAAGCCCCGGCUAACUACGUGCCAGCAGCCGCGGUAAUACGUAGGGGGCCAGCGUUAUCCGGAAUUAUUGGGCGUAAAGGGUGCGUAGGCGGUCCUACAAGUCAGAGGUGAAAGGCUACGGCUCAACCGUAGUAAGCCUUUGAAACUGUAGGACUUGAGUGCAGGAGAGGAGAGUGGAAUUCCCAGUGUAGCGGUGAAAUGCGUAGAUAUUGGGAGGAACACCAGUUGCGAAGGCGGCUCUCUGGACUGUAACUGACGCUGAGGCACGAAAGCGUGGGGAGCGAACAGGAUUAGAUACCCUGGUAGUCCACGCCGUAAACGAUGAGUACUAGGUGUCGGGGGUUACCCCCUCGGUGCCGCAGCUAACGCAUUAAGUACU